rnacentral:rRNA from 1 species
GGUUAGGCUGGGAGCGACCCAGGCGCACCCAGAAACCCUUUGUGAACUUAUACCUUACUGUUGCCUCGGCGCAUGCCGGCCCCCCUGGGGGCCCCUCUCCUGGAGGAGCAGGCACGCCGGCGGCCAACCCAACUCUUGUUUUUACACUGAAACUCUGAGAAUAAAACAUAAAUGAAUCAAAACUUUCAACAACGGAUCUCUUGGUUCUGGCAUCGAUGAAGAACGCAGCGAAAUGCGAUAAGUAAUGUGAAUUGCAGAAUUCAGUGAAUCAUCGAAUCUUUGAACGCACAUUGCGCCCUCUGGUAUUCCGGAGGGCAUGCCUGUUCGAGCGUCAUUUCAACCCUCAAGCCUGGCUUGGUGAUGGGGCACUGCUUUUACCCAAAAGCAGGCCCUGAAAUUCAGUGGCGAGCUCGCCAGGACCCCGAGCGCAGUAGUUAAACCCUCGCUCUGGAAGGCCCUGGCGGUGCCCUGCCGUUAAACCCCCAACUUCUGAAAAUUUGACCUCGGAUCAGGUAGGAAUACCCGCUGAACUUAAGCAUAUCAAUAAGACGGAGGAA